AUUUAUAUGCCUACAACGUUAAUGAAACAGAUCGCAUUAGAACUCCAUAGUUAAGUGAUUUUAGGCUAGAGUAGUACUAGAAUGGGUGACCUCUUAAGAAUUCCUAGUGUUUUACAUG
rfam:Picea glauca, whole genome shotgun sequence.